rnacentral:rRNA from 1 species
CUAAGACGAGGAUAACGACUGGAAACGGUCGCUAAAACUGGAUAGGAUCAUUUGAGGCAUCUCGAAUGAUUUAAAGGGGCUUCAAGCCACACUUAGAGAAAGGCCUGCGGCGCAUUAGCUAGUUGGUGGGGUAGAGCCUACCAAGGCGAUGAUGCGUAGCCGGACUGAGAGGUCGAACGGCCACAUUGGGGACUGAGACACGGCCCAAACUCCUACGGGAGGCAGCAGUAGGGAAUUUUCGGCAAUGGGGGAAACCCUGACCGAGCAACGCCGCGUGAAUGAAGACGUAAUUUCGGUAUGUAAAGUUCUUUUAUUAAGGAAGAAUAUCACGGAUAGGAAAUGAUCUGUGAGUGACGGUACUUAAUGAAUAAGCCCCGGCUAACUAUGUGCCAGCAGCAGC